UGGGGAAUCUUGGACAAUGGGGGCAACCCUGAUCCAGCCAUGCCGCGUGAGUGACGAAGGCCUUCGGGUUGUAAAGCUCUUUCGCCCGCGACGAUGAUGACGGUAGCGGGAGAAGAAGCCCCGGCUAACUCCGUGCCAGCAGCCGCGGUAAUACGGAGGGGGCUAGCGUUGUUCGGAAUCACUGGGCGUAAAGCGCACGUAGGCGGCGUGUUUAGUCGGGGGUGAAAUGCCUGGGCUCAACCCGGGAACUGCCUUGGAUACUGGCACGCUUGAGUCCGAGAGGGGUUGGUGGAACUCCCAGUGUAGAGGUGAAAUUCGUAGAUAUUGGGAAGAACACCGGUGGCGAAGGCGACCACCUGGCUCGGGACUGACGCUGAGGUGCGAAAGCGUGGGGAGCAAACA
rnacentral:rRNA from 1 species